rnacentral:rRNA from 1 species
AUUGAACGCUGGCGGCAGGCCUAACACAUGCAAGUCGAACGAGUGGCGGACGGGUGAGUAAUGUCUGGGAAACUGCCUGAUGGAGGGGGAUAACUACUGGAAACGGUAGCUAAUACCGCAUAUCCUCGGCUGUGCCCAGAUGGGAUUAGCUAGUAGGUGGGGUAAAGGCUCACUUAGGCGACGAACACUUGCUGGUCUGAAAGGAUGACCAGCCACACUGGAACUGAUACACGGUCCAGAAUCCUACGGGAGGCAGCAGUGGGGAAUAUUGCACAAUGUGCGCAAGCCUGAUGCAGCCAUGCCGCGUGUAUGAAGAAGGCCUUCGGGUUGUAAAGUACUUUCAGCGCGGAGGCGUUACCCGCAGAAGAAGUACCGGCUAACUCCGUGCUAGCAGUCGCGGUAAUAC